GUAAUGUCUGGGAAACUGCCUGAUGGAGGGGGAUAACUACUGGAAACGGUGGCUAAUACCGCAUAACGUCGCAAGACCAAAGAGGGGGACCUUCGGGCCUCUUGCCAUCAGAUGUGCCCAGAUGGGAUUAGCUUGUUGGUGAGGUAACGGCUCACCAAGGCGACGAUCCCUAGCUGGUCUGAGAGGAUGACCAGCCACACUGGAACUGAGACACGGUCCAGACUCCUACGGGAGGCAGCAGUGGGGAAUAUUGCACAAUGGGCGCAAGCCUGAUGCAGCCAUGCCGCGUGUAUGAAGAAGGCCUUCGGGUUGUAAAGUACUUUCAGCGGGGAGGAAGGUGUUGUGGUUAAUAACCGCAGCAAUUGACGUUACCCGCAGAAGAAGCACCGGCUAACUCCGUGCCAGCAGCCGCGGUAAUACGGAGGGUGCAAGCGUUAAUCGGAAUUACUGGGCGUAAAGCGCACGCAGGCGGUCUGUCAAGUCGGAUGUGAAAUCCCCGGGCUCAACCUGGGAACUGCAUUCGAAACUGGCAGGCUUGAGUCUUGUAGAGGGGGGUAGAAUUCCAGGUGUAGCGGUGAAAUGCGUAGAGAUCUGGAGGAAUACCGGUGGCGAAGGCGGCCCCCUGGACAAAGACUGACGCUCAGGUGCGAAAGCGUGGGGAGCAAACAGGAUUAGAUACCCUGGUAGUCCACGCCGUAAACGAUGUCUACUUGGAGGUUGUGCCCUUGAGGCGUGGCUUCCGGAGCUAACGCGUUAAGUAGACCGCCUGGGGAGUACGGCCGCAAGGUUAAAACUCAAAUGAAUUGACGGGGGCCCGCACAAGCGGUGGAGCAUGUGGUUUAAUUCGAUGCAACGCGAAGAACCUUACCUGGUCUUGACAUCCACAGAAGAAUCCAGAGAUGGAUUUGUGCCUUCGGGAACUGUGAGACAGGUGCUGCAUGGCUGUCGUCAGCUCGUGUUGUGAAAUGUUGGGUUAAGUCCCGCAACGAGCGCAACCCUUAUCCUUUGUUGCCAGCGGUCCGGCCGGGAACUCAAAGGAGACUGCCAGUGAUAAACUGGAGGAAGGUGGGGAUGACGUCAAGUCAUCAUGGCCCUUACGACCAGGGCUACACACGUGCUACAAUGGCGCAUACAAAGAGAAGCGACCUCGCGAGAGCAAGCGGACCUCAUAAAGUGCGUCGUAGUCCGGAUUGGAGUCUGCAACUCGACUCCAUGAAGUCGGAAUCGCUAGUAAUCGUGGAUCAGAAUGCCACGGUGAAUACGUUCCCGGGCCUUGUACACACCGCCCGUCACACCAUGGGAGUGGGUUGCAAAAGAAGUAGGUAGCUUAACCUUCGGGAGGGCGCUUACCACUUUGUGAUUCAUGACUGGGGUGAAGUCGUAACAAGGUAACCGUAGGGGAACCUGCGGUUGGAUCACCUCCUUACCUUAAAGAA
rnacentral:rRNA from 1 species